rnacentral:rRNA from 1 species
GUGGGGAAUAUUGGACAAUGGGCGAAAGCCUGAUCCAGCCAUGCCGCGUGUGUGAAGAAGGUCUUCGGAUUGUAAAGCACUUUAAGUUGGGAGGAAGGGCAGUAAGUUAAUACCUUGCUGUUUUGACGUUACCGACAGAAUAAGCACCGGCUAACUUCGUGCCAGCAGCCGCGGUAAUACGAAGGGUGCAAGCGUUAAUCGGAAUUACUGGUCGUAAAGCGCGCGUAGGUGGUUUUGUAAGUUGGAGGUGAAAUCCCCGGGCUCAACCUGGGAACUGCCUCCAAAACUGCAUGACUAGAGUACGGUAGAGGGUAGUGGAAUUUCCUGUGUAGCGGUGAAAUGCGUAGAUAUAGGAAGGAACACCAGUGGCGAAGGCGACUACCUGGACUGAUACUGACACUGAGGUGCGAAAGCGUGGGGAGCAAACAGGAUUAGAAACCCUAGUAGUCC